UACGUAGGGGGCAAGCGUUAUCCGGAUUUACUGGGUGUAAAGGGAGCGUAGACGGCGUAUCAAGUCUGAUGUGAAAGGCAUGGGCUCAACCCGUGAACUGCAUUGGAAACUGGUAUGCUUGAGUGCCGGAGGGGUAAGCGGAAUUCCUAGUGUAGCGGUGAAAUGCGUAGAUAUUAGGAGGAACACCAGUGGCGAAGGCGGCUUACUGGACGGUAACUGACGUUGAGGCUCGAAAGCGUGGGGAGCAAACAGG
rnacentral:rRNA from 1 species